CUUUUAUGAAACUCUGCCAGACUCUUCUCUCGUACCUUCUCCCACAGUGGUGCUGAUCGGACACAUUUAUUUUGUGAAUAUCUGGGAUGCCCCUCUCAUGUUUGAUUGAAAAGUCAAAACCAAGGUCUGCCUAGAGUAGUUUCAGCUACUGCCCCUCAGAGCCACUGCUGGAGUGAUUUUUGCCUGACCUUAUGCCUGGAGGAGGAGGCUAAUUUUCUGGAUCUGAUUUUUCCCAAUGACAAUUGAAGCAACAUGCUUUGAAGUCUUCCUACAAGAAAUAGUCCAGCAUAUGUGCCUGUUUCCACUCCAUUUCUCUCUUACCCACUUGAGGACAGUUUGAAUCAUUUUUUAAAGACCUCAGUACUAGACUGUGUUUUAGGACCACAAGGAUGCACAGCACAUGACACAAAUACAUACAGGAGGUGCAGGUGAUAGAGUACCUGGAUCUGGGAACUUGAGCCAUGGAAAUUCUGGAACUGGGAUUCUAGGCUGGAUAUUGCUGCCAGUUCAGGAAGGAAACUCUGAGAAGCUGGGGUACCUGGAUGGAAGGCCAGGGGAGUUUAGACUUGGAAGUUGGAAGGAACUGAGCUAAACUGUGAAUCUAAUCUCUCCUCCCCAG
rnacentral:lncRNA from 1 species